rnacentral:lncRNA from 1 species
UAUAUAUAUAUAAGUUAAUUGGCUGUUCCUUGCAUUCAAAAAAUUGUCAUAUCAAUAGCAUAUGUUGAGAUAUCAUGGCAUUUGAUCAUUUAACUGACGCGGGUUUGAAAAUUAAGGCCGUCGCCGUCCGGCUAAAGCGUGCUUGGACAAAGAGACGAAAAGAUCGAGGCGAUGGUGGUGACGGUGGCGGUGGAGAAGAUGGAGGCGGAGGUGCAGAUAUUGAUGGCAACAGCGGAGGAGGAUUAGAAGCCGGUGGUCAUGGUGACCACAACGGCGGAGGACAUCACGACGGUGGCGGUGGAGGGCAUCAUCACGGCGGCGAUCACGGCGGCGGAGGGCAUCAUCAUGGCGGCGAUCACGGCGGUGGAGGACAUCAUCACGGCGGCGGAGGGCAUCAUCACGGCGGCGAUCACGGCGGUGGAGGACAUCAUCACGGCGGCGAUCACGGUGGUGGCGGAGGGCAUUACGGCGGCGACGGUGGUGGUGGUGGUGGUGGAUUUGCAUUUUGAUGGGAGUUUGGAUAAUCAAGUGGAGGAAAUCGACAGACGUGGAUACUAAUAUCUAUUAUUAUAAAAGUGCCUUAUUUAUAAAAUUUUAUUUGUCUAAUAUAUCGCUGGUGUAUAAAUUUUUUAGAUAUAAUCCCUGGUGUAUAGUUAAAUCAAGGGGAAUAAUGUAAAUAUGCACUACCUUAUAUUGUAAUUACAUAAAAUUAUUAAUGAUUUGUUAUGUAUGAUAUAUACUUAACAUUUUUUUUUUCUGAAUAAUUACGUCAUACCGAUUUGUUUUUUUUUUUAAGUAAUUACUUUGUGCUAUAUUAAAUAUGAGGUGGCAAACAUUUAUACUACAAUCUUACUAUUCUAAAUAACCGAUGAAAAGAAAAUAAAUUAAAUAUUAUAUUUAUAAAAAUAGAACAAACAGAAAGGGUUGGAUAUCAAAAUCUCUCUCUUGCUCUCUUGGCCGUGACCCGUGAGAUUGCCACUCCAGAAACAAUAAUAAGAAAUCAGUCCCUGUGGCGUAGCCUUUAAAUUUCUUUAUUUAAUACUGUUAAUUUAUUACAAAAAAUAUAAGAAAUCAGUUAAAUUUUAAAGUCGUUUGAAUUCCAGAAGCUAUAAAGACGCCGCUUGGAUUUUAUAAUAGAAGCAAUAAGAAAUUAACAACUCCCUUUAUUUUAAGAGGUACAGUUAAUUCAUUCUCAUUCAACAAAUGCAUGAUCAUGAUCGUGAGAAAUCUAAAAUGGUAGAGAGGCUGUUCAACAAAUUGCUCUUUCUUGUUAUUUAAAGGCCUCGCAUCAAAAAAAAAAAAAAAAGCCUCAAAGGCCCAUCUCUCGAGUAAAUGGGCCAAAUAAUAAUAAAUCUUGGGCCGUCAUGAGUCUAAUAGAUGUUUAAAUUUAUAAGUCCAUUUUUCACAUGCAUGUUUCUUAAUUUUUGUAAAAAGAGAAGUGAGAUUAUUUUUACGAGAUGGAUGGAUUAAAUUUCUUAUCAAUAUAAACAAUUAUAGUAAAAUUAUUUUUCAAAUAUUAAUUUUAUUAAUAUUGAUUAUUUGAUUUAAUAUUGAUUUUGUUGUAUAUUUGAUUGUUAUUUUUCAUACUCAUAUUUUCUUUCUUUUUUUUAAUUACGAUAAUAUUAAUUUUUUAUUAUUUUAAAUUCGAUCGUAUAUUUAUCGUCAAUGUUUCGUCGACACCACAAAUCUUAGUUAUUAUCUCGACAUAUUAUAAGGUUAUGAAUGAUUAAUGAUAUUUUAUAUUGAAUUAGAGUUUAAAUGAAUUAAUAGGUACUAUAUAUAUCAAUAAUACGAGUGUUCCCUAUUGGUGACUACUCGAAAAGAACUUCAAGGUUAAGCGUGCUUGACUUAGAGCACAAGUAAAAUGGGUGACCUACUGGGAAGUUUGUCAAAUGGUAUGAUGGGUGACCUACUGGGAAGUUUGUCAAAUGGUAUGCAAUUAAGGUCAAAAUACAUUAGAAAUACACUAAAAAUACUUGUGGGAUACAAAGAUAUGAAAAAAAUAUGUCUUUAUUUAAAAAAAAAAUAAUUUUUUAUUUUUAUUUUUUAUUUUUUUUUCUCUUUUUAACGACCGAAAUUUCGGUCGUUAAAAAUAAAAAAUCGAUCGUUAAAUUUAACGACCGAAAAAACGGUCGUUAAAACUCGGGCGACGAUGCAAACAACGACCGAAAAAAACGGUCGUUAAAUCGGUCGUUAAAAAUAUUAACGACCGAUUUUUGGGUUUUAACGACCGAAAUUUCGGUCGUUAGAGCCGCAUUUUCUUGUAGUGGUUCAUAAAAACAAAAAAGCUAAAAAAAAAGGUUAGGAAAAUGGUGCAAUUGACUCUGUCAAACUGAUUUUUACUGGUAUCCAUUUCACCGGCUUUAAUAUAUCAAGUUGGGAUAUAUUAUUUUCUCCGUCUGUUUCUGGUCCAAAUUAAUCAGACAAACAAAUUUCUAGGUCUGCUUCAAAAUUUUAACUAAGAAAAAUAUUUUUUAAAUAUUGUUUACUUACAGUGCACACUUCGAAGCAGCAAUAUUCAACUUAAUUUCUGCAAAAUCAACUUGAUCCAAGCUAGGGAAGCUGCAGGUACGAUUGUCAAUGAAAAUCUAAUUUAACAAACAUUAUUUAAUAAAAUCAUAAUUAUAUUAAAAAAACGCGUAAACUGCGGCCAUAUAUAUAUGUGAGGCAAUAGUCCAGCGUUGUUAAUUAAUAGGACCACUACUUAAUAAAAUUGAAGAAAAGGAUUAAAGAAAUCACCGAAUUAUAGUAAUUAAGAUAUGAGCUGACUUUGACAAUAUUGGUGUUUCAGACAUAAGUAUUUGUAAAUAAAUAAUUAAUUGAGUCACUAAGCUACUUCCGUCAAAUAUACUAUUUUUGUACGUUUGAGCUACUUCAAAUCUCUAGCUAUUUAAUGACUUUUUAAUUAUGAGCUCGUUAUUUCUUACAUCCAUUGAUCUAGGGCUCGGUACGUUUUCAUGAAAGAAGUGAUAAUAUCUUGGGAUGAAGAAGAUGAGGGAGUAGUUGGAGGUAUAGUAUUUUGAGAAGACACUGGCCACCGGGUCCUCACUUAAGUGAAGUGACCCGGGUUCGAUCCCUCUUGGGAGCGAAUUUAGAGAUUGGAGAUAUAAGGUGGAUUUUGGUGAAUGGAGAGAUAAGGUGGUUCUUGGAGUGAAUGGGGAACUAAUUACUAACAUCUAACAUGACUUUGCCCGAUUAAAAAAAAAAAAGUAUUUUGAGAAGAGGGAAAAAUUGAAAAAACUCCAAACAUGAAAGGAACGAAAAGAUGAAGAAAUUGGAUAAGUAGCUGCGAAGAAAUUACGAAAUGAAGAUAUUUCAACAUGUAUUGUUAGUGAACGCAAAUAAUCAAACAUACCUAUCAAUUGUUAUUAGGGAAGUAACAUCUAUAUAUAUAAGUUAAUUGGAUGCUCCUCUCGCAUUAAAAAAAAUCUCUUUAACAAAGGCGCGUAGGAAAAUCAAGGCCAAGCUAAAGCGUGCUUGGGCAAGGAUACUAAAAGAUGAUGACGAUGGCGGUGGUGGCGGUGGCGGGGGUGGCGGUGGCGGUGAUGGCGCGUAGGAAAUAAAAAAAAGCUAAAGCGUGCUCGGGCAAGGAUACUAAAAGAUGAUGGCGAUGGCGGUGGCGGUGGUGGCGGUGGCGGUGACGGAGAUAAUAUACCUGGAGAUGGCAACAACGAUGGUGGAUACGGUGAUCAUGGUGGCGAUAACGGCGGAGGUGGAGGGCAUCAUCACGGCGGAGGGCAUCAUCACGGCGGUGGAGGGCAUCAUCACGGCGGAGGGCAUCAUCAUGGUGGCGGAGGGCAUCACGGCGGCGGAGGGUAUCACGGCGGUGGAGGGCAUCAUGGCGGCGGAGGGUAUCACGGCGGUGGAGGGCAUGGCGGCGGCUAUCACGGUGGUGGCGGUGGAUUUUGACAGGGGUUUAGAUAAUCAAGUGGAGGAAAUCGACAAAUACGGAUAUUUGUAUCUAUCUAUUAUAAAAGUGUCUUAUUUUAUGAAAUUUGAUUUGUCUAAUAUUCCUCGGUGUAUAGUUAAAUCAAAGGUAAUAAUGUAAUACCUCAUAUUAUAAUAACAUAAAGUGACUAGGAGUAGUUUUUUAUGUAUGAUUUAUACUUAAGUACUUUUUGAUAUUUAUUUUAUUAAACCUCUUGUACUAUUUAAUUUGGCUUGUUUUCUUUUUAAAUAAUUAUUUUUCCUUUAUUAAAAAUGAGCUCAUACAUAUUUAUAUUAUAAUCUUAUUCUCUUA